GAUGAACGCUGGCGGCGUGCCUAACACAUGCAAGUCGAACGAAGAGCUUUAUUUCAUUUCCUUCGGGCGUGAGUAUUUUAUGACUGAGUGACGGACGGGUAAGUAACGCAUAGGUCAGCUGCCUCUUAGAGAGGGCUGACAGAUGGACACGGAUGCUAUAACCGCAUAAGGUCACGGCGUCGAAUAUGGCAUUGCUAACAACUCCGGUGGGAUAAGAUGUACCUUCGUUGGAUUGGAUGGUAGGUGAGGUAACGGCCCACCAAGGCGACGAUACAUAGCCGAGCUGAGAGGGUGACCCGCGACAUCUGGACUGAGACACAGUCGGGAAUCUUCCGGGAUGCAGGAGUGGCGAAUAGUGCACAGCGGGGGAAGGGCUGAUGGAGCGAGGCCGCGUGAGCGAAGAAGUAUUUCGAUAUGUAAAGCUCUAUCAGCAGUGAAGAUAUUGACGGUACCUGACCAAGAAGCACCGGCUAAAUACGUG
rnacentral:rRNA from 1 species